CUCCGGUUGAUCCCGCCGGACCUGACUGCUAUCGGAUUGGUACUAAGCCAUGCGAGUCGUUGUAGCAAUACAAGGCGGACGGCUCAGUAACACGUAGUCAACCUAACCUAUGGACGUGGAUAACCUCGGGAAACUGAGAAUAAACCGCGAUAGAUCAUUAUGCCUGGAAUGGCUUAUGGUUCAAACAAUUUAUUGCCGUAGGAUGGGACUGCGGCCUAUCAGCUUGUUGGUGAGGUAAUGGCCCACCAAGGCUAUAACAGGUACGGGCUCUGAGAGGAGAAGCCCGGAGAUGGGUACUGAGACACGGACCCAGGCCCUAUGGGGCGCAGCAGGCGAGAAACCUUAGCAAUGUGCGAAAGCACGACUAGGUUAAUCCGAGUGAUUUCUGUUGAAGAAAUCUUUUGUCAGUCGUAAAACCACAGACGAAUAAGGGGUGGGCAAGUCUGGUGUCAGCCGCCGCGGUAAUACCAGCACCUCGAGUGGUCAGGAGGUUUAUUGGGCCUAAAGCAUCCGUAGCCGGCUACGCAAGUCUCCGGUUAAAUCCACCUGCUCAACAGAUGGGCUGCUGGAGAUACUACAAAGCUAGGGAGUGGGAGAGGCAGACGGUAUUCAGUGGGUAGGGGUAAAAUCCUCUGAUCCAUCGAGGACCACCAGUGGCGAAGGCGGUCUGCCAGAACACGUUCGACGGUGAGGGAUGAAAGCUGGGGGAGCAAACCGGAUUAGAUACCCGGGUAGUCCCAGCUGUAAACGAUGCAAACUCGGUGAUGCAUUGGCUUAUGGCCAAUGCAGUGCCGCAGGGAAGCCGUUAAGUUUGCCGCCUGGGAAGUACGGACGCAAGUCUGAAACUUAAAGGAAUUGGCGGGGGAGCA
rnacentral:rRNA from 1 species